rnacentral:rRNA from 1 species
UACGUAGGGUGCAAGCGUUGUCCGGAAUUAUUGGGCGUAAAGAGCUCGUAGGCGGUCUGUCGCGUCUGCUGUGAAAACUCGGGCUUAACCCCGGGCCUGCAGUGGGUACGGGCAGACUAGAGUGCGGUAGGGGAGACUGGAAUUCCUGGUGUAGCGGUGAAAUGCGCAGAUAUCAGGAGGAACAGCCGGUGGCGAAGGCGGGUCUCUGGGCCGUAACUGACGCUGAGGAGCGAAGCAUGGGGAGCGAACAGG